rnacentral:lncRNA from 1 species
GGUUAAUUCUUGGAUGACGUCGGCGUUGCUGGGAGAAUGUGCCGUUCCUGCCCUGCCUCCACCCACCUCGGGAGCAGAAGCCCGGCCUGGACACCCCUCGGCCUGGACACCCCUCGAAGGAGAGGGCGCUUCCUUGAUGACUAGGCUACUUUUGCCCACUGUAAAAGGCACCGUCAUCCUGGUAUCAAGAUUCUGGAGAGGCCAGAUUUGAAAUCAAGUUUGUUUGAGACGUGGAUGACGAUGGGGAAGAUGUCCAUCCUGUGCAGGGUGCAGACACUGUCCAGCUGGACGUCCAGGAGGGCAUGGGUGUUCUUUGUGGGAGGGAGAGAAGAAGUGAGUCAAGAUCACAGGCCUCAGAGGAAGCAAAGGGAGCCAACGCCCAGGUCAGAAGGGCCCUCCGGACAGGCUGAGGGCAGGGCAGGAGCUGGGCAGAGCUGAAUUUUGUAGAGGAGAUGAGGGAAUAGAGCUUGCCACUUUCUUCUCUCUUUUUUUUAUUUUUAUUUUUUAUUUUUUUGAGACGGAGUCUCGCUCUGUCGCCCAGGCUGGAGUGCAGUGGCGCGAUCUC